rnacentral:snoRNA from 1 species
UUCUAUGUUGAGCGUAGACGUCUUUACAAUUUCCUUUGCCCUGCUCUCACUGAAA